UAAAAAAUCAAAAAAAAAAAGUUAGCAUAAAAAUCCUAUUAACCUUUUAAUUUUUAAGCUAGAUAAUUGCUUCAUUAGAUAACGUUAUAAAAAAUUCUCUUCGCUUUUUCAUUUUCUCACAUUUUCAUUUAGAACGUGGCGCUGUUGUUUGAAUUUUUUUUUUUUUUUUUUAAAUUCGAAAAUUUGUGACAUUUCCAGCUAUUGUUAUCAUAUUGUUCAGUUUAAAAAAAAUAAACUUCUAAUAAUAAAAGAGGAAGGUAACAAACAUUGAAAGAUUUAUUUGGUUUGAUUGGUGUUUUUGUUUUAAGGGCACAAUGUGUUAAACAUCAGAAGUUAUUUUGAUUUGUUUUUAAUUUAAACUUUCUUUUCCAUUAUUUCGUUGAGUUUUUUAAGUAAUUUUAAAAAUCUAAUACAUUUUAUUUAUCAUUGCAAGGUUUUAACUCGUAGCAUGAAAGCUGAAAAAUAAAUUUUUGCUUCAACGAAUGCUAAUCUUUAGCAAGUAAACGUUAAAGCGCUGUCAUUGCACUGUGUUAACUCUGUUGCGGAAAAAUCGACUUUUUCUAACUUUGGAUGUGUUUCAAAACUAGGAUAUUUUUAUAGCCACUAAUAUGUUAAAAACAUUACUAAGCUAAUGGGAAUACAAUUAUUUAUUUUUUAUUUUUUAUUUA